GUUCGCCGGGGUGCCGCUUGUGCGGCAGGUCGUCGCUGCUGUCGGCGACCUCCGCGCGCAGCCGGCGCGUGCCGCUCUCGCCGGUGACCUC
rnacentral:tRNA from 1 species